rnacentral:rRNA from 1 species
UGGGGAAUUUUCCGCAAUGGGCGCAAGCCUGACGGAGCAAUACCGCGUGAGGGAGGAAGGCUUUUGGGUUGUAAACCUCUUUUCUUAGGGAAGAAGAAAGUGACGGUACCUAAGGAAUCAGCAUCGGCUAACUCCGUGCCAGCAGCCGCGGUAAUACGGAGGAUGCAAGCGUUAUCCGGAAUUAUUGGGCGUAAAGCGUCCGCAGGUGGCACUUCAAGUCUGCUGUCAAAGACCAGAGCUCAACUCUGGGCAGGCGGUGGAAACUGGGGAGCUAGAGUACGGUAGGGGUAGAGGGAAUUUCCAGUGUAGCGGUGAAAUGCGUAGAGAUUGGAAAGAACACCCAGGGGGGAACCAGCAUACUGGACAGGUCCUGACACUCAGGUGCGACAGCGUGGGGAGCGAACCGGAUUAGAUACCCCCGUAGUCC